CUUUCUUUCUUUCUUGAACUGAAUGUUACCUUGAUGGAGUUGGAAUUUAGGUCAUACUCACUAACAUUUUCAGCAAACAACAAGCUUUCUCCUUGGGUACUUGAGGAGCUGGGUCCCUGGUAAGGCUGGAGCCACCAGACCCUCACCAGAAGACCCUAAAGCCAUUGCUUGGGCACCUAGGAGCAAUGCUACUAGGCCUGAAGGCCAAGGUGACCCUCCUCUGAUUCUUAGGGUCAGCUUAAGUCCUGUGACUACAAAGGAAGACAUUUAGGUAAAGUAUGUACAUAAACUUACCUCCUCCUCUGGAGACUCAAAACACACAAAGCAGAAACCAUAGCACUUUACUGUGUGUGGGUAUGAGUUUAUUUGAUAAUUAUUCUUGGGGGUUUUUUUGUUGUUCUUGUUUGUUUUGCAUCUUCAAAGGAGCAAAAGUAGUAAAGGACUGAAAGGGAGUCAAGAUGUGCCUCUAUGAAAUUAGGUGAGAACGUAUGUCACUGAGGGGGGACCUAAAGCCCACCCUCCCCCCACUCCCAGCCCCGCCCCACCAGCCCACUCUGAUUUCCAUGGGCCUCACCUGUCAAGCUUUGAGGCUCUUGCCCGAGCUUGCUGAGAGGACAGAAUGGAGAGUGAGACCUUGCUGAGCCAGAUACUCGGGAGAGAGGAGAGGCCCUUCAGCAGGGCCUGUUUCCUCUAAGGGGCGCAACGCCCUGCGCAACCUUCUGCGUAGUUCUCCAUGACGCUGACGCGGGCAGGAAGACAGAGGCCACCCAGUGUGAAGUGCUGCUGCAGAGAUGGAAUCCAUUCCGCCAGGCGUAGGCAGGCAGUGACAUGAGGGGCCGAUUCGCACAGCUGUUCCCCACCCACGGCCCGUUCCCAGACACCACAUGGCUCCCUGUGCCUUAAUGCCACCAGGAGAGUGACUCAGCCUGCCACACACUGCUCUGCUUGUAACACUAAUAACCACAGGAAUUCUCUGGGCGGGAUGCCGGCCGGGUCCUCUCUGGCCUGGGGAAAAGGAGUCAGAGCUGCAGAUAUGCGAACUACUUGAGGUCUAUAUCUGGCUGAGGUCUUAAGCAGCUGCUGUACUUUUCUGUGCCUGGUGACAUAAGAGCCACAGCCGGAUCAAGCUUCUUCCCGCCUCCCCUAGAAAAGUGUCUACCAGCUUUCUGCAGGAGGAAAGCUCCUCCGGCGAGAGCGUGUAGGACUGCAGAUCUGGGAGGUUAGGGAAGGCUUCAAGUUCAGAGAGCCAGAGGCCCAAAGAAGCAUUCAUUACCAUUCUUGCAGCCCAACAAAUGCUCUAAGGAUGAGAACAGAAGACCUUGUCUUGAGAAGUGUGAGUAACUCUACCCUCUGGAAUGAAAUUCCAAAAUAAAAAGUAAAAAAACAAAGUAA